GGAGCGAUGGCAGAGCGGUUGAAUGCGAUGGUCUUGAAAACCAUUGGGCGGGCAACCCCCGUCCCGGGGGUUCGAAUCCCCCUCGCUCCU
rnacentral:tRNA from 1 species